UGGGAUGUAGCUUAGUUGGUAGAGUGCUUGCUUGGUGUGCAUGAGGUCCUGGGUUUGAUUCCCAGCACUGCAC
rfam:Neotoma lepida isolate 417 scaffold_130, whole genome shotgun sequence.